AAUUUGACUAUGGUUUUCAGUGAGUGCGAGCGAGACGCCUAACACAUGCGAGUCGCGCCACUUGAGCACCCCUCUCGGACUACGAGCCGAAUCGGGCGUGCUCACUGGCCCAUGAGCGGCAUAAGGGUGAGGAAGCGUUUGCGGCAGCUAGUGGACUUAUCCGUAAGCAACUGCAAGCGUGGGAUCAGGAGUGGACACGCCUGGCGUGCGCCAGCCGACGACCCCUAGUCGGUUUUAGCGAUCAGCCGGCCACCUGGGGUUUGAGGAAGCCCCACCAUCGGCAGCAGUGAGGAAUCUUGGUCAAUGGGCGGCAGCCUGAACCAGCGUUCUCGCGAGCCAAACCUUUCGUGUUCUGACACAGCGCGCAACGUGCGCACACGGCAACCUUGUGGCGCAAAACGAGCCCCACGACAAGAGCCUCGGACCAAAGAUGUGCCAGCAGUUGCGGUAAGACAUAUACGAGGAAGCACUACUGAGCGUGACUGGGCGUAAAAGAUGGCUCCGCGUGUCGUUUGUUUGUUGGCUGACACGUCUCUCGACUACAACACAGACACCAAUCUCGUGGGGGUUCGCACAGUGGUCGUUGACGGGGUGAAAUCCAUACGCCGGCCGCUAAGCCAAAGGCCACGGCAGCGUACCACACGAGAUUUAGGCGUAACCAUGAAAGUGUGGAUAGCAAACAGUAUUAGAGACUCUGGUAGCCCACACUGUAAAUUUAUGAGCGUUGUGGGGAAGCCCACUAGUUUACACAAGAGCGCUCUGCCUGGGAAACAAUUGCAAGAUCGGGGACUUAAAGAGAUUGGCGGGAACUCAUGCAAACGAUGGAGUGUGUGGUUUAAUUCGACAGUACACGUGUAACCUUACCAAUCGUCGUUGGCGCGGCCUGGCCCUGCCCCAUAAGCACUGCAUGGCUGUCGUCAGCUCGUGCCUCAAGGUGUGGUGUUUAGUCGCCGAACGAGCGCAACCCCAGUACUGGCAUUCGCCGGGAUUGGGCCGAGGUCAAGUCAAUAUGGUCUUUAUCGAUUGGGCUACGCACGCGCUACAUUGGCUAAGACAACGGGUGGCUUCUUGGCAACAAGUGGCAAGUCUCUAAAAAUAGCCAGGUUCGGAGCGCUGUUUGCAACUCAACAACGUGAAGGAGAAAUCGUUAGUAAUCGUGAAUGAGCAUGUCACGGUGAAGCAAAACUGAGUUCUGCACACACUGCCCAUCACGCUCGCGGCGUGGCGGUCUUGCGACAGAGCCUGGCUCGUAAAGCCAAGGCUGCUAUAGUAUUACUGCUGUAACGUGAGCGAAGUUGACACAAGGUAGGUGUAGGGGAACCUGCACCUGGAGCA
rnacentral:rRNA from 1 species